CGCCCCCCAAACCCCAAACCCAUCUCCUCCUCGCUCCAAUUGCUCCCUUCCCUCCCAUCUCCCCUCCCGUGUCUUCCUUCUCUGCGGCCGUCGUGGAGGCACUCGGAUCCGACGAAGCCCCAGAUGGCGGCGGAGGAUUCGAGGUUGAGGAGGCAUCCGCCACUGCUGCUCGUCUCGACGUUGAGGGUCGAUGCCGAUAAGGUACUCGAAUUUUGUCCUUCCUCUGCAUAGUAUGUCGUGGUGUCUUUUUGUUCCCUCUUGAGUUGUCCUGUGCCGCUUUAUGCAUUUUAUUGAUUAAUUUAGUGUCGGAGAUAUGCAUUGAAAAAGGAGAAUGACUAGAAUUACUGGUAAAUCAUUGCUCAACAAAAAAUAUACGGCACGCAUUGUUAAUUUUAUUCUACAUGGGUUGAGCUAUAAUUUUAUCAAGAUAAACAUGAUGCAGCCUUACUCAAUUCUAUAUUACGGGAUUAUAAAUAUGUAUGUAGCUUGAUCUUGGAUGUACCUUUGUUUUACAAGUCCAGCAUAUGAAGAGGAUCCUUCUCAUUUAAAGCUUCAGGAGCCAAAUCAGCCAUUAAUUUUUAGACGUAAAAAAUGACAAAAGAGUUAAAGGAAGCAGUUGUUUCUAAUUAGUGUCGUCCCCAUCAUAUUCAUGCAAUUAUUGGUUGAUGCUUAGAGAAGAUAUGUAUUAAGUUUUAUGGGCAACUAUUGACAUCAGUCUCAAAGUCAAUUUUCUUGCAAAGUCAAACACAUGCAAGAUAGGAGCAAAUUUAACCUAUAAGACUAUCUAGUAAUAGGGAUGUCUUUCUUAUCAACGUCUGUUUAAGCUUGUUCACAAGAGAAUCCUCGAGUCAUACCACAGUCAAAAGAGUGUUAAGCACAAAGGGGAACAUGAAGUAUUUGUUUGUCAAAACUAUUUUCAUUUGGGAACUCAUACAAGUAAAAGCAAUAUAUAGGAGCACAAUCUCUCCAAAGUGAUUCCAGUUGUACUAAUGUAGAGAUUAUUAUGAGACGACAUACUGUUCUCCUCUACUUAGUCUCUUCUACUAGUGAAGAUUAAUGUCUCACAACGUAGUCCUACCAGUGAGAAUUAAUGUCUCGCAUGCUAAUCCACGGUGGCUAUGUAUUGGCAUGGUGUAUUUUACUGUACCAAGCUGAUGUUGCAAUGCACCAGACCAAUGCGAACUGUCAAAUUUGAUGCGUGGCACUGUGCCUAUGUUGGACGCGUUGUCAUGCAUUAUAUAUGUGUAUUUCUCUCAUGAUAUGAGUACAUAAUUCUGUGAAUCAAGCAUUUUAGUCCUUGAUUACUAGCAAUAGUUCUCCUCAAAUUAUAUUGUUCA